rnacentral:rRNA from 1 species
ACGCUGGCGGCAGGCCUAACACAUGCAAGUCGAGCGGUAGAGAGAAGCUUGCUUCUCUUGAGAGCGGCGGACGGGUGAGUAAUGCCUAGGAAUCUGCCUGGUAGUGGGGGAUAACGUUCGGAAACGGACGCUAAUACCGCAUACGUCCUACGGGAGAAAGCAGGGGACCUUCGGGCCUUGCGCUAUCAGAUGAGCCUAGGUCGGAUUAGCUAGUUGGUGGGGUAAUGGCUCACCAAGGCGACGAUCCGUAACUGGUCUGAGAGGAUGAUCAGUCACACUGGAACUGAGACACGGUCCAGACUCCUACGGGAGGCAGCAGUGGGGAAUAUUGGACAAUGGGCGAAAACCUGAUCCAGCCAUGCCGCGUGUGUGAAGAAGGUCUUCGGAUUGUAAAGCGCUUUAAGUUGGGAGGAAGGGUUGUAGAUUAAUACUCUGCAAUUUUGACGUUACCGACAGAAUAAGCACCGGCUAACUCUGUGCCAGCAGCCGCGGUAAUACAGAGGGUGCAAGCGUUAAUCGGAAUUACUGGGCGUAAAGCGCGCGUAGGUGGUUAGUUAAGUUGGAUGUGAAAUCCCCGGGCUCAACCUGGGAACUGCGUUCAAAACUGACUGACUAGAGUAUGGUAGAGGGUGGUGGAAUUUCCUGUGUAGCGGUGAAAUGCGUAGAUAUAGGAAGGAACACCAGUGGCGAAGGCGACCACCUGGACUGAUACUGACACUGAGGUGCGAAAGCGUGGGGAGCAAAC